GAUGAACGCUGGCGGCGUGCUUAACACAUGCAAGUCGAACGGAGCACCCUUGAAGGAGUUUUCGGACAACAGAUAGGACUGCUUAGUGGCGGACGGGUGAGUAACGCGUGAGGAACCUGCCUUGGAGAGGGGAAUAACACAUGGAAACGUGUGCUAAUACCGCAUGACAUACAUUUAUCGCAUGGUAGAUGUAUCAAAGAUUUAUCGCUCUGAGACGGCCUCGCGUCUGAUUAGCUAGUUGGUGGGGUAACGGCCCAUCAAGGCAACGAUCAGUAGACGGACGGAGAGGUGGACCGGCCACAGUGGGACUGAGACACGGCCCAGACUCCUACGGGAGGCAGCAGUGGGCAAGAUUGGGCAAUGGGGGAAACCCUGACCCAGCGACGCCGCGUGAGUGAAGACGGCCUUCGGGUUGUAAAGCUCUGUUGCAGAGGACGAUAAUGACGGUACUCUGUGAGGAAGCCACGGCUAACUACGUGCCAGCCGCCGCUGUAACAC
rnacentral:rRNA from 1 species